rnacentral:rRNA from 1 species
GAUGAACGCUGGCGGCGUGCUUAACACAUGCAAGUCGAGCGAGGAAAGUUCUUCGGAGCUUUUCUAGCGGCGGACGGGUGAGUAACACGUGGGCAACCUGCCUCAUAGAGGGGAAUAGCCUUCCGAAAGGAAGAUUAAUACCGCAUAAUAUUGUUGAAAGGCAUCUUUUAACAAUCAAAGGAGCAAUCCGCUAUGAGAUGGGCCCGCGGCGCAUUAGCUAGUUGGUGAGGUAACGGCUCACCAAGGCGACGAUGCGUAGCCGACCUGAGAGGGUGAUCGGCCACAGUGGAACUGAGACACGGUCCAGACUCCUACGGGAGGCAGCAGUGGGGAAUAUUGCACAAUGGGGGAAACCCUGAUGCAGCAACGCCGCGUGAGUGAUGAAGGUCUUCGGAUUGUAAAGCUCUGUCUUUAGGGACGAUAAUGACGGUACCUAAGGAGGAAGCCACGGCUAACUACGUGCCAGCCGCCGCCGUAACAC